rnacentral:rRNA from 1 species
ACCGGCGGCUCGAGUGGUGGCCACUAUUACUGGGCUUAAAGCGUUCGUAGCUGGCUUGUUAAGUCUCUGGGGAAAUCUUCCGGCUCAACCGGAAGGCGUCUCAGGGAUACUGGCAGGCUAGGGACCGGAAGAGGUGAGAGGUACUCCAGGGAGAGGAGUCACAACCAGGAAUCCGUGAGGGACGACCUGUGGCUGGGGCGUCACACCAGGACGGCUCCCAUAGUGAGGAACCAAAGCUGGGAGAGCAAGCAG